rnacentral:rRNA from 1 species
AGCUCCAAUAGCGUAUAUUAAAGUUGUUGCGGUUAAAAAGCUCGUAGUUGGAUUUCAGUUCUGGACUGACGGUUCACCGCCCGGUGCACACUGUCACGCUCCGAACAGCCACAACAGCCCGCUGGCUCGCACGGGGUGCUCUUUACCGGGUGUCCCGCGUGGCCGGCAGAGUUUACUUUGAAAAAAUUAGAGUGCUCAAAGCAGGCUACAUUGACGGCCUGAAUGCCUAUGCAUGGAAUAAUGGAAUAGGACCUCGGUUCUAUUUUGUCGGUUUUCUGAACCCGAGGUAAUGACUAAUAGGAACAGGCGGGGGCAUUCGUAUUGCGACGCUAGAGGUGAAAUUCUUGGACCGUCGCAAGACGAACUACUGCGAAAGCAUUUGCCAAGGAUGUUUUCAUUA